GGCGCGGUAGUUCAGUUGGCUAGAAUGCCAGCCUGUCACGCUGGAGGUCGAGGGUUCGAGCCCCUUCCGCGUCGCCA
rnacentral:tRNA from 2 species